rnacentral:lncRNA from 1 species
AUGACCAAAAUGUGGAAAAGAGAUGAGGCUCCUACUAGAGAUUUCAUGUCGCAUUUUUCAUGAGGAACUCACAGAGGGGAGGCUGAUGCUCUUGAGAUGAGCUUCUUUCCUCUACUUGGUGCUCUAAGCAGCACAAUUCAUUAUUACAAGUACAAAACAGAGUUGGGAAGCUGAAGGAAAGAGUGGAGAGACAGGGUGGCUUCUGCUAUAGGGGAACUGAGGACCAUGGAGCAGUGCCCUGUUUCAGAGCGAGUAACCACAGCCCGCAGGCUGCAGCACAAAACUGGGCUUGCACAGCACACACACUGAAGAGACUCACUUCAGCCUGUGCUGUUGUUAAGGGCCCAGGUCUUAUCCCUCAGGACUGCAAACAUGGCUCUGUACUGUGGAAUGAUUAAAAAACUUUACUGAAUCAGCUGCAGUGUCAUUGUGCUAGCUGCUCCAGGCUUCUCCCUUUGUCCCACUAGAGAUGCAGGCAUUUCAGAAGAAUCCAGCUAAAAGGAGUUGUUUGUCCUUGGUGUAGAAUCACAAUUUCUUGGAAUAGUUGGAAUUGGAAGGAGCCUUUAAAGAUCAUCUAAUCCAGUGCCCCUGCAAUAAGCAGGGACAUCUUCACCUAGAUCAGGUUCUCAGAGAUCCUGGCCUUGAAUGUUCCCAGGGAUGGGACAUCUAGCACCUCUUUGGGCAAACCUUAUAUUUUUUUCUUCCUUUUACCUGAAGUCUUGUAUAUGUAAGUAAUAUUUUUGGUGUGUAUUUUAUCCCCCAGCACACAGUAAAGAAAGGUGACUGCCUUCAUAUGUAUUUCUCCAUCUUUAUUUAAGAUUUUUCUACCUUGAUAGUUUUUUUUUUCAAAGACCUCUAAUCCAAGUGAGCAUUUCAGGUAUCAAAUGCAGCAUUUGUGGAUUUUAUAUGAAGGGACAAAAUGUUUAUAUGAAGGUACAAACAUUUUGGAUUGAUAAAUAAUGUGUGUACUAUUAUUUUUGUAUUAGUAUUAUACCAUACUAAUACUAAUACAAUCACUUUUUUGUUAGUAUUUUGUGUUAGUAUAAAAAACAAUUUUGUGUUUUUACUUCUAUCUGUGCCUGAAAUACUUUUAAGAUAAAGAAAUCCUUCUACUAUGCCACUAAUCAGAGGAUAAUUCAAAGCAAAGUUUCUGCAAGUUAGAAAUAUUCUUCAGGUUGUUUAACAUUUCACAACUCCUGGUUGAGAGAAUGCAAAUGAAGCAAGCCAGUAAGUGAAUACAAAUUGAUGUUACACACUGGUGUUUCUUCUAAAUUCGGCUUGAGGCAUAAAAUAAGAGCUUGAGAAGCCAGUACAACAACCACUAGCUUUUAUGAUUCAUUUACAGUAGUCACAGUGUUAAGCACAAAUGAGCUUGUUGAAGCUA